AUUGAACGCUGGCGGCAGGCUUAACACAUGCAAGUCGAACGGUAGCAGGAGAAAGCUUGCUUUCUUGCUGACGAGUGGCGGACGGGUGAGUAAUGCUUGGGAAUCUGGCUUAUGGAGGGGGAUAACUACGGGAAACUGUAGCUAAUACCGCGUAGUAUCGGAAGAUGAAAGUGCGGGACCGUAAGGCCGCAUGCCAUAAGAUGAGCCCAAGUGGGAUUAGGUAGUUGGUGGGGUAAAGGCCUACCAAGCCUGCGAUCUCUAGCUGGUCUGAGAGGAUGGCCAGCCACACUGGAACUGAGACACGGUCCAGACUCCUACGGGAGGCAGCAGUGGGGAAUAUUGCGCAAUGGGGGGAACCCUGACGCAGCCAUGCCGCGUGAAUGAAGAAGGCCUUCGGGUUGUAAAGUUCUUUCGGUAUUGAGGAAGGUUGAUGUGUUAAUAGUACAUCAAA
rnacentral:rRNA from 1 species